UACGUAGGUGACCAGCGUUGUCCGGAUUUACUGGGCGUAAAGAGCGCGCAGGCGGUCGUUCAAGUCGAGUGUGAAAGCCCCCGGCUCAACUGGGGAGGGUCAUUCGAUACUGAUCGACUCGAAGGCAGGAGAGGGAAGCGGAAUUCCCGGUGUAGUGGUGAAAUGCGUAGAUAUCGGGAGGAACACCAGUGGCGAAGGCGGCUUGCC
rnacentral:rRNA from 1 species